rnacentral:misc_RNA from 1 species
GAUGAAGAACGUAGCGAAAUGCGAUAAGUAGUGUGAAUUGCAGAAUUCAGUGAAUCAUCGAAUCUUUGAACGCACAUUGCGCCCGCUGGUAUUCCGGCGGGCAUGCCUGUUCGAGCGUCAUUUCAACCCUCAAGCCCCCCGGGUUUGGUGUUGGGGAUCGGCUCUGCCUCACGGCGGUGCCGCCCCCGAAAUACAUUGGCGGUCUCGCUGCAGCCUCCAUUGCGUAGUAGCUAACACCUCGCAACUGGAACGCGGCGCGGCCAUGCCGUAAAACCCCAACUUCUGAAUGUUGACCUCGGAUCAGGUAGGAAUACCCGCUGAACUUAAGCAUAUCAAUAAGCGGAGGA